GACCUCCAAUGGCAGGGUUGGGCUGGGCGGGAGGCCACAGUCCUCAGGUUCCCACAGGCCCUGGUCCAGAGGGGGCAGAGGCAUCCCCUGGGGACGCGGGAAGGAGUUCCUGCCCCAUGGCACACGGCCCCCAGCUGUGUGCACCGGGGCUUCAUCUCCUGAGCAGCAGCAGUGGCUCUACUUACCAUCAAGGAUUGUGAUGAGCACAGAAGCCUUCCGUGGGGCUGGAGAAGACAACGGAGGUGGAUGCUGCCCCCAAGUUCAAUCUCAAACAAAAUGGCUCUAUUUUUUUUUCUGAAAUGUUAACUUGGGAAAUUUAAGAAACCACCUUAAAAGUCACUUCUGACCGCUUCUAGAUGUUUCACCUCAUUACACGGUGCCUGCUCAGGUGCUUGCCCUCGCACCCGGCGCUGUCUUCCAGCCAGGACCACCCUGUUCUCUCUAAGUUGCCUCCUCGCUCCCCUUCCUCCAAGGGAUGCCAAGAUCCUGGAGCACAGUCUCCACGGCGCCUGCUCAUGUCCCUCUGGUUCUGCAUUUACACACUGCGAAUUUGUGAAAAUGAGGCAGAGGUCCACCAGCCUCGAGGAAGCUUCUCCGAGGGACGUGCACUUCCCAGAAGGGGGCCACUGUCUGACUCAUUAACUACUCAAUUAAAGGUGGCUCCCUGCAGGGAGGGAACGCAGCUGGCUGGUGUGGACUUGGCUCUCAGGACUCCCUCUGCCAUCAGGCAAUUCCAGCGGAGGACGAGGUACAGAGCCCGGUCAGGCCAUGAGGUGUCCUCUGUGAAUAAUGGAGACAAAUUAAAGACAAGGGCUUUCUUCACACAGAAAUUGGAUGUCAGUGACAAAGUCCCACUAAUACCAAGCCUUUCUCCAGAAGUAGCAGCAUAUGGAUAAUGUGUAGCAGUAGGUCACUGGCUUGCCUAUCAGAAACACUCAGAAGGCUUACAGUUCCGUUCUUGAGCAACAGGAAGGACAGGCAGGCUGUCAAAGGUCCCCCAGAUGACCCGUGCUCCUCUCUCCUCAUUGGACUUCAGCUUCUUCAAUGGUCAAGGACAGCGACCAACUCAGUCACGUGGUAAGUCAGUCCUACAGAACUGAAAAGGGAGGAAUCAGACCAGAGAGACACAGCCUGCUCUCUCCUGCGACAGGGCUCUGUGUGGUCUGGAGGUGAGCAGAGCAGCCAGCGGGGUGCAGACCUGAGCUGGGUGCAGCUCUGAAUGUGUCAUUAGGGCCUGGGGUGGAUAUCCUCUGACUUUCUCUCAUCCAAAACCCAAGGUGGCAGAGUGUGAGGAGAGGAGUCCCCUGUCCAAGGUGCGCCACCUGGUCACCCCAUGACACCAGGAGUGCAAGCCUCCCACUCUGCACCAGACCUGGCGCCCCACGGCUGGGCUCUGUCCUUUAGGAGGCCUUCUCUGAAUCCUAAUCCCCGAUGGCCUUUCCAGCAUUGUGUGCACCCAAUUGAGGACGGCUAAGAAGACUUUAGCAUCAGGGAGUCCCGCCUUUGUCCCUGGCUCGAGGUUGGCUUGUGUAGCACCUACCCACCGUCUCCAGCUGUGAGCUCUCCUAAGAGGUGUGGUCCACUGCCAAGGACCCAGGGCAGUGUGCCUGCUGGGGCUCAGCCCUCAUGUCCUCUGUAAUGUGCUGUGACAUCAGGGUGUCCAAAGAAAGUCACAGCAGAGUGACAGGGGCACCCAGCUGCACCUCAUUGUCAUUCCAUCUGCACUACUCAGUGAUGAAACCCGCGUCUUGAUGAUCACAGAUAUUACCCCAAAGAGAAAAUACAGGUUUUUAAAGGGUGAUGCAAUGUAUUUGUGAGUAAUGACAUCUUAAGAAUAUAGAUUAUAAAAGUAUUUGUCAGACUCUUUACCUGCUCAAAAUAGUAUUUCUGAAAUAAUAUCUGAGAAAGAAAACUUAUCUAGCAAAAAUAGUUUCUUAGACUUUCUGUACAGUGCACAUUUUUGGCGAUGGGGGUUUUACAUAUUACCUAAAGCCAAGAAUAACUUGGCAUAUCAUUCCCAAAACUUCUGAAUGUUGCAUUGAGGUUUAUGGCAUUACCGUUGCAGAAGAAUAUGAAAUAGAAAGGAUUUAUAUUAUAUUUUUAAAACUUGGACCUGUCUGUUAAAAAUGAGCCCAUAUAUUUCUCUGCUCUUGUUAGCCAGAGAAAGAUACAGGAGGAAAAGGAGGAAAUGAAUUCACUGAGAAGGACAAUGAUGAAUCUGCUGGUUUCUUAUCUGGCAGACUGCCUCCUAACCACUUCUAAUCUGUUAUCUCAAUUAAACCACAUUCCAACACAAAUAAAUAAAAUCAGCAAUUCUCUGGACGGAUAAUAUCGUCAAAUCCCCAAAGGCUUAUAACACUGUAUUAUCCUGGGGUCCGAAGGCCUCAGACUGCAUCCCUGAUGCAAAUGAAAACCCGUUCUGCCUGGUGAGUUAUCUGGAGAAACAGGACAUGCCGGGGCUUCCUGCUGCUGGUAGGUUCAGAUGGUAAUGGGCAGCGAGCAGCUUCCUGU